GUUGGUAACUAGGGGUGUCCUGUGGUAUGCUGUCGGGCCUAGGUAAGGGUCUAGCGGGAUGCUGCAAAUGGACUGAGAUCAUACCCUUUGAACCUGAACAGGAUAAUACCUGCGCAAGGGAAAGUUGCCAUUGGAAAUA
rnacentral:ncRNA from 2 species